rnacentral:rRNA from 1 species
CAGUAGCCGCGGUAAUACAGAGGAUGCAAGCGUUAUCCGGAAUUACUGGGCGUAAAGCGCACGUAGGCGGUUAUUCAAGUCAGAGGUGAAAGCCCGGGGCUCAACCCCGGAACUGCCUUUGAAACUAGAUGACUGGAAUCUUGGAGAGGUCAGUGGAAUUCCGAGUGUAGAGGUGAAAUUCGUAGAUAUUCGGAAGAACACCAGUGGCGAAGGCGACUGACUGGACAAGUAUUGACGCUGAGGUGCGAAAGCGUGGGGAGCAAACAGGAUUAGAUACCCCGGUAGUCCCUGUCUCUUAUAC